GACGUAGGGGGCAAGCGUUAUUCGGAAUUAUUGGGCGUAAAGCGCUCGUAGGCGGGACUGGAAGUCCGUGUUGAAAGACCUCGGCUCAACUGAGGGACCGGCUCGGAUACUCUAGUUCUUGAGGCAAUCAGAGGGUGAUGGAAUUCCAGGUGUAGUGGUGAAAUACGUAGAUAUCUGGAGGAACACCGGUGGCGAAGGCGGCGAUCUGGCCCAACACUGACACUGAGACCCGAAAGCGUGGGGAUCAAACAGG
rnacentral:rRNA from 1 species